ACCUCUGUGGUGCAGUGGAUCAGCGUGUCUGGCUGUUAACCAGAAGGUUGGAGGUUCGAGGCCACCCAAGGAUG